AUGGUGGUAAAAUUGGACAGGGCACGAGGAGUUUGGUUCGUCGCGUCAUUCGUGGAUGAUCAUAACCACGCGAUGGCUCGACCCGACGAGGUUCCUUUUUUGUGGUCACACAGACGGAUUGGAGAUGGCACGAGGGCAGAGAUACUGGCUAUGCAAGGGGCUGGAAUCAGGAAGCAUAUAAUUGUGGACAACUUCAUCAGUAGGUACGGUUCAUACGACAAAUGCGGACUUAUUAGGCGGGACGUGUACAAUCUUUGCUGCAGAGAGAAGAUGAAGCUCAUAGCAAAGGGUGAUGCUGAGACGGCAGUGGGCAUUAUGAGGAGCAGAAAGGAGAAGGACCCAGACUUCUUCUUCGAGUACGAGCUAGAUAAGGAAGGGCGGUUGAAGUGUAUGUUCUGGUGCGAUGCACAGUCGCGGAGGGACUAUCAGGACUACGGAGAUGUGGUCGUGUUUGAUAGCACGUAUAAGAUGAACAGAUAUGGUAUGACGUUCGUCCCCUUCGUCCGAGUUAAUAACCACCGUUGCACAACAGUUUUUGGGUGUGCCAUUGUUUCCGACGAGACCGAAGUGACGUAUGUGUGGCUGCUCCAGACUUUUAUGAGGGCAAACUGUCAGCAGAAGCCAAAGUCAAUUAUCACAGACGGUGAUGCUGCAAUGCUCCGAGCGAUUCGGAGUGUCCUUUCAGAUGUGCUCCAUCGUAUUUGCUCGUGGCAUAUCGAGAAAAAUAUGCAGAGACACCUACAUUACAAGUCACUAGAUGAGUUUAGAUCGCUCCUGUACUAUGCCACCUUUGAAGAGAACUUUGAGAAGAGAUGGACUGCCUUUGUCAAUAAAUGGAAGACGGAUAAAACUGAAGAGUGGCUGAGGAGGAUGUAUAGGAAGAGGAGACUAUGGGCAGCAUCGUAUCUUUCAGAUGGCUUUUUUCUUGGUAUGCGUAGUAACCAGAGGAGCGAAAGCCUCAACUCCUCCCUUCACCUUCACCUCGACUAUGGUAUGACCAUUGUUGAUUUGGUAGUGCAUUAUGAGAACUGCAUAGUACGCCUCCGUGAGAACGAGGCGAAUGAUGACUGUGAGGCCAAUCAGAAAGUACCACCGGCGGUUACUGAAUAUAAGGACAUUGAGGAGCAUGCUGCCAAAGUAUUCACUCCUGCUAAUUUCUGCAUUCUGCAAAAUGAUUUGAAGAAGGUGGGAGAACUGGAGAUAUUUGAGACGCUGGUGGGAAUUGAGCGCCAGACCUUCAUCGUCACAUGGCAGAAUAACCACAAGUUUAGGUAUAAUGUUGUGUAUGAACCAGAUAACUCAGAAGAAACCUUAUCAUGCACGUGUCGCAGGAUGGUUCGCAAAGGGCUGCCUUGCAAACAUAUUCUCUUUGUUCUGCAUCAUCUUAAAUUGUCUCAAAUACCAAAUUGUUGUCACUAG
rnacentral:rRNA from 1 species